UAACUGCAAGUUUGUCAUUAAUUUAUUUUCACAGGUCUAGAUGAUCACAUCUGUCUUUGUCAUUUAAAUGAGGUGGACUUGCAAACUUUGCGCUCUUUUGGGUUGAAGCAGAAUUUGCCCGUCUUACAUCUGUUGACCUGAAAGGGUUCCUUUUUGCUGUGCUUGACCAUUAUGGAGAGGUUCGUGGAGCUGUACAAAAUCAAGAGCGGCAUAGAAGGGCUAACUAGGCUCAUAAGAUGCUUCGGAGAUGAUAGCCCUACACAAAGGAAGAGGACAGAGGACCUCAUUUUCUAAAGGAAGAUCCUCA
ensembl:lncRNA